rnacentral:rRNA from 1 species
GACGAACGCUGGCGGCGUGCCUAACACAUGCAAGUCGAACGAGGUCCAUCCUUCGGGAGAAGACCUAGUGGCGAACGGGUGAGUAACACGUGAGGAACCUGCCCCGAAGACCGGGAUAACCCUCCGAAAGGAGAGCUAAUACCGGAUACCCCCCACCGAGCCGCAUGGUUUGGUGAGGAAAUGGAUUCCGCUUCGGGAGGGCCUCGCGGCCUAUCAGCUAGUUGGUGGGGUAACGGCCCACCAAGGCAUCGACGGGUAGCUGGUCUGAGAGGACGAUCAGCCACACUGGGACUGAGACACGGCCCAGACUCCUACGGGAGGCAGCAGUGGGGAAUCUUGCGCAAUGGGCGAAAGCCUGACGCAGCAACGCCGCGUGGGGGAUGACGGCUCUCGGGUUGUAAACCCCUUUCAGCAGGGACGAAUCAAGACGGUACCUGCAGAAGAAGCCCCGGCUAACUACGUGCCAGCAGCCGCGGUAAU